AACACAUGCAAGUCGAACGAAGCUGCUAAAAGGAAGUCUUCGGACGGAAUUUUAGUAGACUUAGUGGCGGACGGGUGAGUAACGCGUGGAUAACCUGCCUUAUACAGGGGGAUAACGGAGAGAAAUUUCCGCUAAGACCGCAUAAGACCACAGCACCGCAUGGUGCAGGGGUAAAAUAUUUAUAGGUAUAAGAUGGAUCCGCGUCCGAUUAGCUAGUUGGUGGGGUAGAGGCUCACCAAGGCGACGAUCGGUAGCCGGCCUGAGAGGGUGAACGGCCACAUUGGGACUGAGACACGGCCCAAACUCCUACGGGAGGCAGCAGUGGGGAAUAUUGGACAAUGGGGGAAACCCUGAUCCAGCGACGCCGCGUGAGUGAAGAAGUAUCUCGGUAUGUAAAGCUCUAUCAGCAGGGAAGAAAAUGACGGUACCUGACUAAGAAGCCCCGGCUAACUACGUGCCAGCAGCCGCGGUAAUACGUAGGGGGCAAGCGUUAUCCGGAUUUACUGGGUGUAAAGGGAGCGCAGACGGCGAAGCAAGUCUGAAGUGAAAUGCAUGGGCUCAACCCAUGAAUUGCUUUGGAAACUGUUUGGCUUGAGUGUCGGAGGGGUAAGCGGAAUUCCUAGUGUAGCGGUGAAAUGCGUAGAUAUUAGGAGGAACACCGGAGGCGAAGGCGGCUUACUGGACGACAACUGACGUUGAGGCUCGAAGGCGUGGGGAGCAAACAGG
rnacentral:rRNA from 1 species